rnacentral:hammerhead_ribozyme from 1 species
AUCCAUCUGAAGAGUCCCAAAUAGGACGAAAUAAUUUUCUUAGAU